rnacentral:misc_RNA from 1 species
UGGCUCUCGCAUCGAUGAAGAACGCAGCGAAAUGCGAUAAGUAAUGUGAAUUGCAGAAUUCAGUGAAUCAUCGAAUCUUUGAACGCACCUUGCGCCCCUUGGUAUUCCGAGGGGCAUGCCUGUUUGAGUGUCAUUAAAAUCUCAAUCAUUUGUUCUUUUUUUGAAUGAAUGAAUUUGGAUGUGGGGGUUUUCUUUGCUGGCGCUCUCUAGGAGUCGGCUCCCCUGAAAUGCAUUAGCUAGUGCUUGUGUAGACUUGGGUCUCAUUGGUGUGAUAAUUAUCUACGCCAUUAGCCAUUCUACUUUUGUAAUAAGUGCUGCUUCCAACUGUCUAUUAUUCAGACAAUCAAUCCUUAACAUUUGACCUCAAAUCAGGUAGGACUACCCGCUGA